rnacentral:piRNA from 1 species
UGUAUCCAUGAGCAAUGUUAGGUUGU